rnacentral:misc_RNA from 1 species
AAAGUCGUAACAAGGUUUCCGUAGGUGAACCUGCGGAAGGAUCAUUACCGAGUUAGGGUCUUAUAGGCCCGACCUCCAACCCUUUGUUUACUAUACCAUGUUGCUUUGGCGGGCCCGCCUUUCGGGGCCGCCGGGGGGUCUUGCCCCUGGUCAGUGCCUGCCAGUAGCCUUAUUAAAUUCUUUCAUAAUUAUGUUGUCUGAGUAUAAAUAUUAAUCGUUAAAACUUUCAACAACGGAUCUCUUGGUUCUG